GGGGAGCGAACAGGAUUAGAUACCCUGGUAGUCCACGCCGUAAACGGUGGAUGCUGGAUGUGGGGCCCGUUCCACGGGUUCCGUGUCGGAGCUAACGCGUUAAGCAUCCCGCCUGGGGAGUACGGCCGCAAGGCUAAAACUCAAAGAAAUUGACGGGGGCCCGCACAAGCGGCGGAGCAUGCGGAUUAAUUCGAUGCAACGCGAAGAACCUUACCUGGGCUUGACAUGUUCCCGACGGUCGUAGAGAUACGGCUUCCCUUCGGGGCGGGUUCACAGGUGGUGCAUGGUCGUCGUCAGCUCGUGUCGUGAGAUGUUGGGUUAAGUCCCGCAACGAGCGCAACCCUCGCCCCGUGUUGCCAGCGGAUUAUGCCGGGAACUCACGGGGGACCGCCGGGGUUAACUCGGAGGAAGGUGGGGAUGACGUCAGAUCAUCAUGCCCCUUACGUCCAGGGCUUCACGCAUGCUACAAUGGCCGGUACAACGGGAUGCGACGCGGCGACGCGGAGCGGAUCCCUGAAAACCGGUCUCAGUUCGGAUCGCAGUCUGCAACUCGACUGCGUGAAGGCGGAGUCGCUAGUAAUCGCGAAUCAGCAACGUCGCGGUGAAUGCGUUCCCGGGCCUUGUACACACCGCCCGUCAAGUCAUGAAAGUGGGCAGCACCCGAAGCCGGUGGCCUAACCCCUUGUGGGAUGGAGCCGUCUAAGGUGAGGCUCGUGAUUGGGACUAAGUCGUAACAAGGUAGCCGUACCGGAAGGUGCGGCUGGAUCACCUCCUUUCUACGGAG
rnacentral:rRNA from 1 species